GAUAGCUCAGUGGUAGAGCUUCCGUCUCCUAGGCAGCAGGUCGCGGAUUUAAAUCCCGCUC
rnacentral:tRNA from 1 species